rnacentral:rRNA from 1 species
AUUGAACGCUGGCGGCAUGCCUUACACAUGCAAGUCGAACGGCAGCGGGGGAGAAGCUUGCUUUUCCUGCCGGCGAGUGGCGAACGGGUGAGUAAUACAUCGGAACGUGCCCUGUAGUGGGGGAUAACUAGUCGAAAGAUUGACUAAUACCGCAUACGACCUGAGGGUGAAAGUGGGGGACUGUAAGGCCUCAGGAUAUAGGAGCGGCCGAUGUCUGAUUAGCUAGUUGGUGGGGUAAAGGCCUACCAAGGCGACGAUCAGUAGCUGGUCUGAGAGGACGAUCAGCCACACUGGGACUGAGACACGGCCCAGACUCCUACGGGAGGCAGCAGUGGGGAAUUUUGGACAAUGGGCGAAAGCCUGAUCCAGCAAUGCCGCGUGUGUGAAGAAGGCCUUCGGGUUGUAAAGCACUUUUGUCCGGAAAGAAAUGGCUCUGGUUAAUACCUGGGGUCGAUGACGGUACCGGAAGAAUAAGGACCGGCUAACUACGUGCCAGCCGCCGCGGUAACAC